ACGGGAUUUAGUUUAAAGCAGGAAAACAUUGGUUUUGGAGACCUAAAAUAUUAUUAGUAGUCCCG
rnacentral:tRNA from 1 species